CUUUCCGAUUUGCUUAUAUUUUUCUAGUUUAUAGCUGUAAAGUUGAAAGUGACCCCUAGUUUAUAUUUUCCCAAAAAUCAUCUCUCUCUAUCUCGUUAAAGAGAAAGCCCUCCCCUUUCUUACUUUCCCCGUCCUCUUUCCGCUGUUGCCACCACCGAUCGCCACAAGUUCAUCGCCGGUCCUUCACUGUAAUUGUGCCUUAUUUUUCCGGCGAGGAUUUCCGGCAAGCUACAGUACUUCCGGCGACUCCCGUUCAG
rnacentral:lncRNA from 1 species